AUAAGCGGCGACAGGCACAGUCGUCCUAGCUGGAAACGGCUAGGAGUAUGACCGGGUGAAUUGCUGGAACCCCCUUAGAGCCUUUGGCGCCACAACGGAGCUGGAAACGGCAGACGUGAUGGCCGGAAAAGCCAAAGGAUUGGGCAACCAGCAGCCAAGCUCCUGUCCCGAAAGGGUGGAGAAGGUUCAACGACUAGGGCAUACCACCUAAGGCGCAUUCGCUAUGGUGAUGAAGUCCGUAGGGGAGCGGAAUUUCCAUCGUUCUGAAUUCCCCGAAGUGCCCGGCCCCUCACUAGCGGUAAGCUAGCGGGUGAAGAGAUAGUCUAGUCAUUUGCGAAAGCAAAUG
rnacentral:ncRNA from 1 species